UGGCGGACGGGUGAGUAACACGUAAGAACCUGCCUCUAGGACGGGGACAACAGUUGGAAACGACUGCUAAACCCGGAUGAGCCGAAAGGUAAAAGAUUUAUCCGCCUAGAGAGGGGCUUGCGUCUGAUUAGCUAGUUGGUAAGGUAAAGGCUUACCAAGGCGACGAUCAGUAGCUGGUCUGAGAGGAUGAUCAGCCACACUGGGACUGAGACACGGCCCAGACUCCUACGGGAGGCAGCAGUGGGGAAUUUUCCGCAAUGGGCGAAAGCCUGACGGAGCAAGACCGCGUGGGGGAGGAAGGUUCUUGGAUUGUCAACCCCUUUUCUCAGGGAAGAACUCAAUGACGGUACCUGAGGAAAAAGCAUCGGCUAACUCCGUGCCAGCAGCCGCGGUAAUACGGGGGAUGCAAGCGUUAUCCGGAAUGAUUGGGCGUAAAGAGUCCGUAGGUAGUCAAUCAAGUCUGCUGUUAAAGAGCGAGGCUUAACUUCGUAAAGGCAGUGGAAACUGUAAGACUAGAGUGUAGUAGGGGCAGAGGGAAUUCCUGGUGUAGCGGUGAAAUGCGUAGAGAUCAGGAAGAACACCGGUGGCGAAGGCGCUCUGCUGGGCUAUAACUGACACUGAGGGACGAAAGCUAGGGGAGCGAAUGGGAUUAGAUACCCC
rnacentral:rRNA from 1 species